GCCUGGGUGGCUCAGUCAGUUGAGUGUCUGACUUCAGCUCAGGUCACGAUGUCACAGUCCGUGGGUUCGCGCCCCAUGUCGGGCU
rnacentral:tRNA from 1 species